UACAGAGGGGGCAAGCGUUGUUCGGAAUCACUGGGCGUAAAGCGCACGUAGGCGGCUUUGUAAGUUAGAGGUGAAAGCCCGGGGCUCAACUCCGGAAUUGCCUUUAAGACUGCAUCGCUAGAAUUGUGGAGAGGUAAGUGGAAUUCCGAGUGUAGAGGUGAAAUUCGUAGAUAUUCGGAAGAACACCAGUGGCGAAGGCGACUUACUGGACACAUAUUGACGCUGAGGUGCGAAAGCGUGGGGAGCAAACAGG
rnacentral:rRNA from 1 species